GCCUACGGGUGGCAGCAGUUGGGAAUCUUGCACAAUGGGGGAAACCCUGAUGCAGCGACGCCGCGUGGAGGAUGACGGAUUUAGGUCUGUAAACUCCUUUUAUCGGGAAAGACUUAGGACGGUACCCGAUGAAUAAGGACCGGCUAACUACGUGCCAGCAGCCGCGGUAAGACGAAGGGUCCAAGCGUUGUCCGGAUUUACUGGGCGUAAAGAGCGCGUAGGCGGUCUGUUAAGUGUGAAGUGGAAUCUCCAGAGCUCCACUCGGAAACUGCUUCGCAUACUGGCAGACUUGAGGAAUGCAGAGGUAAGUAGAAUUCCUGGUGUAGCGGUGACAUGCAUUGAUAUCAGUAGGAAUACCCAUGGCGAAGGCAGCUUACUGGGCAUUAUCUGACGCUGAGGCGCGAAAGCGUGGGGAGCAAACAGGAUUAGAUACCCCAGUAGUCC
rnacentral:rRNA from 1 species